AGGAGCGAUUCGCUUCUAUCCUUGUAACACAAAGCGUGCAACUCCAUGUGCAGCAGCCAAAGAUGAGAAAACAAGAUUCUUUGCAGAACACGAAGAACUGGAACACGGACCAUGAGGUUCCGCUUUGGAAAUUCCACUUCUCUUGGAGGCCUCUUCCCAAGGCUGAAGUGAUGUAAGGAAGUCUGAGUGUAAAUAAGAAUCAGACGCUGUUUAGAGAGCAGAGGACCAACAAACAGAACCAUUAAUUUUCCUUUCACAAUAGAGCAACAAAAGAUACUGCAGGGGCCAGAGCAUCCAUUGAUGCAAAUUGACAUAUUUUUACUGAUCGGGGGAUUCGUAUCCUUUCAUCUCAGCUGUGAAUGUGUCACAGAGAGACAACUUAGCAUCUCCAGUCAACGUUGAGGGAUUUAAAAAAAAAAAAAAAAAGAAAGAAAAAAAGAAAGAAAGCAGUCUGCUUAGAUCAAUAUGUGGCAUUAAAAGCCUGAUUUUUAAAACAGAAAAAGCCUGCACAUUGUAGUUUAAAAAAAAAGGGGGAGGGGGCAGUGCUAGUGACUGUUCGUACAAAUAGCAGGGCUAUAUGUGCAGGUGGUCUGGUUA
rnacentral:lncRNA from 1 species